GGAUUAGAUACCCGGGUAGUCCCAGCUGUAAACUAUGCAAACUCAGUGAUGCAUUGGCUUGUGGCCAAUGCAGUGCUGCAGGGAAGCCGUUAAGUUUGCCGCCUGGGAAGUACGUACGCAAGUAUGAAACUUAAAGGAAUUGGCGGGGGAGCACCACAAGGGGUGAAGCCUGCGGUUCAAUUGGAGUCAACACC
rnacentral:rRNA from 1 species